rnacentral:rRNA from 1 species
UACGAAGGGGGCUAGCGUUGCUCGGAAUCACUGGGCGUAAAGGGUGCGUAGGCGGGUUUUAAGUCAGGGGUGAAAUCCUGGAGCUCAACUCCAGAACUGCCUUUGAUACUGAAGAUCUUGAGUCCGGGAGAGGUGAGUGGAACUGCGAGUGUAGAGGUGAAAUUCGUAGAUAUUCGCAAGAACACCAGUGGCGAAGGCGGCUCACUGGCCCGGUACUGACGCUGAGGCACGGAAAGCGUGGGGAGCAAACAGG